UGACUUGCAAGAUGGUGCCACAGAAAGACAAGAAGCCCAAGAGGUCAACCUGGAAGUUUAAUUUGGACCUUAUUCAUCCAGGAGAAGAUGGAAUUUUUGAUUCUGGACAUUUUGAAAAAUUUCUGUGGGAGAAGGUUCAAGUCAAUGGCAAAACUGGAAACCUUGGGAACCUUGUUCACAUUGAAUGCUUCAAGAAUUAAAUCACUGUUGUUUCUGAGAAACAGUUCUCUAAAAGGUAUUUGAAAUACUUUGCCAAGAAAUACCUUAAGAAGAACAAUCUUUGUGAUUGGCUUCGAGUGGCUGCAACUGACAAGGAGACUUAAGAACUUUGUUACUUCCAGAUGAGUCAAGAUGAAGAUUAA